UUGAACGGUUGGCACAUUCCACACUAGCAGAGUUGUCUAUUGAACGUGGAGAGAAAGGGAGAGAAUUAGUUCCUCUCAUUGGAGAACCUACUUUACUGGGACAACUUUUCUCCAGUUCAUUCCCAAAACUCACCUGUCUGACCUUCCAAGAGCUAAUAAUGGGCAACAUACGCAGUGAAGCAAUACUACGUAAUCUAAAGAACCACCUGCAUUUGAAAUCAAUAAGUAUCAUUAGCUGUUUUACGGAUGACGAACUGGACCUCCUGGCUAAACAAGUAACUACUGAGAACAGGAUGAAAGUUAUACUUCAACAUGACAAAGCACAAAGGACGUUAACAUUUGGAUGCAAUAUGGGACAAUUAACAAUAGAUAUAAUAGAUACACUUUGCCAUCGAACGUGUGUCCAUCACUUGAAAGUGUUUGAGUAUGGCGUAACAAUUGCAGGUGAAGAAUGUUUUCCAGACUUUCAUGGCAGAGAAGUGGAUUCAAAGGUUAGUGAAACAGUGAAGCAGCUUUCUUACACUUUUACCACCCUC